rnacentral:rRNA from 1 species
UGGGGAAUAUUGCACAAUGGGCGCAAGCCUGAUGCAGCCAUGCCGCGUGUAUGAAGAAGGCCUUCGGGUUGUAAAGUACUUUCAGCGGGGAGGAAGGGAGUAAAGUUAAUACCUUUGCUAAUUGAUGUUACCCGAAGAAGAAGCACCGGCAAACUCCGUGCCAGCAGCCGCGGUAAUACGGAGGGGGCAAGCGUUAAUCGGAAUUACUGGGCGUAAAGCGCACGCAGGCGGUUUGUUAAGUCAGAUGUGAAAUCCCCGGGCUCAACCUGGGAACUGCAUCUGAUACUGGCAAGCUUGAGUCUCGUAGAGGGGGGUAGAAUUCCAGGUGUAGCGGUGAAAUGCGUAGAGAUCUGGAGGAAUACCGGUGGCGAAGGCGGCCCCCUGGACGAAGACUGACGCUCAGGUGCGAAAGCGUGGGGAGCAAACAGG